rnacentral:lncRNA from 12 species
AGCAGUCAUAGGGUGAAAAUAUUGUUUAAGCCCCAAUUCAAUCCACCUGGGUCACACGGUAACCCUUGAAGGACCUGAGGCCUAAUUCAGUCUUGGUGUCUUAUAUUGAAGAUACCUAACGGGAGAGCUGGUUGCUGACUAGUUUGGAAGGGCCGACUUCAUCCAGAGGUUUCCUUCCGUUUUAUAGGAAGUGAGGUCGGCACAGUCGGGCAGGUAUGUCCUGUGACCGCUGAUGGCCUUGAGCUUCAGGGAACGUCCACAACAAGGAUCACUUCAGUGCUCUGCCUGGAGCGCACUGAGGCUCAAGUGUUCACAGGCUAGCAGUGCACGACACUCGUGUCAGAGCAUCAUUGCUGGAGUUGGGGUCUUCUCAGUGCCUCCACAGCACGUAUUUCAGAAAACUGAAUAAUCUACAACUGGCUACUUCUUCCUCUUCCAUUUGAAGGUGUGCCAAGAUCACAAAAUGGACAUUUAGCUCUGGCCUGUCUAUGACCUUCAGCAGGGGUUAAUUGAGAUGGAAAAGAAAAAGUACCAGGUCUUCUCUUGCAUGAUUACAAUGCAUAUUCCCAUCCCUUUUUGUAUCAUUAUAAAGUAUUAGAGCCAACCAUAAAAAAGGACUGGAUUUAUGAAACUCCUCAUAAUUCAAACAAGAACCAGAGAACUAUAAAAUUUGAAUCCAGAUUUUCUUUUACCGUGUGUGUGUGUGUGUGUGUAGUGCGGUUUUUGAAGCAUGUUCACUUACAUGAUCUCAUUUGAUUCUCCUAACAGCCCUAUGAGCCCAGCAGGCCUAAUUUACCCUCCAUUUUAUGGAGAAGCAUACUGAAACUCUGAGAGAUUUAAGGUUUCAUCCAUUUUUGCCUGGUUAGAAAGUACCAGAGAUGGGAUAUGGGUCUGUCGACUCUUGGUCCCCUGCUCUUGCUGCCCCAUUGCACUGCCGUGGUCCAUGUGUCUCUAGGGUAAAGGGUUAUAGGAAACGAUGCAUCUCCAAGCCUUGCAUGGUGUUAGCCAAGGGCUUGGUCUUCCCCAUGUGAAACACACGCCGAGAUGACAUUUAUCACAUUUGAAAGUGUGAAAGUGACACUCCACUUGAGGAGACUAGGCCACAUUCAUAAAAAGGGUAACCACACGUGAAGUUGAAUCUUG